AUCCCUACGGGGCGCAGCAGUGGGGAAUAUUGCACAAUGGGGGAGAGCCUGAACCAGCCAAGUCGCGUGAAGGAUGACGGCCCUACGGGUUGUAAACUUCUUUUGUCAGGGAGCAAUUGGGUCCACGCGUGGGCUUAGCGAGAGUACCUGAAGAAAAAGCAUCGGCUAACUCCGUGCCAGCAGCCGCGGUAAUACGGAGGAUGCGGGCGUUAUCCGGAUUUAUUGGGUUUAAAGGGUGCGUAGGCGGAAUAUCAAGUCAGCGG
rnacentral:rRNA from 1 species